UGUGUGAUCUUCAAAAGGCUUUAGCUCUCGGGUUGUCUUUUAAAAAGCUAUUUGCGCUUCGUGUGAAAAGGGAAUACAAAUGCUAAGUCUAUAAUUGUCUUCUUUCAUAUGAACUAGGGUUAAAUAAAAAUGUUCAAACCUAACCCCAAUCUAGUUAUGAUAAUGUACUUACAAUAAAAUAUCUAUAGAUAGUCCCGUAGUUUACGCGCGCUUUCUUGAAUUUUUCCCACGUUGAAAUUCAGAGCACUGAGCAGAAGUCACAUUGCGUUUUCUGGUGAAGUUUGGGAUACUUUCGGGAUUACUCCUGUGUUUUUUCGUUUGCAAUUCCUGGGAUUUUGUGCGUUUCUUUCUCUGACACGGAGGAGGUUUGGGUAGUAAUUUAAAUUGCACAGCAGACAAUGAACAAACUAACCCAAACCUAACCCAAAAACAAAACGAUAAAUGUGGGAGUAUCUGUAUACAAGACAUAUGUAUAUACUACAUGUUGACUUGUCAAAUGUGUACUCAGCGUCGAAACGUUGUACGAUUGAAAUUAAUAAGAUUACUAUGCAACGAUUACGGCAAAAAUAUAAGAAUUUAAAACAUCGAUACAGAUUAUAUAUGAAAGAAAGAAACAGUCUAUUAAAAAGAUUAGGUGAUUGCAGCCAGGAUGAUGACAGAGGGAACGAGAAGAGUAAAAAAUGUGAAAAUUUACCAAUGCUCCGACGAAGCAGAAGGCAAAGACAAUAGCGAGUAUCUUCAUCUUCCUUUUGAAGUUGUCGUAGAGCUCGAGUACAAUCAUUAAUAAUGACACGUCCUAUAAUUUCUCCCUCCAUUGGGUACCCGCAAGCGGUACUGUAUUUUCGGAUGGAAGUAUACCGACAUUUCGUCUCUUCCCAGCUAUCAGAAUACAUGUGCUUGGAAAGAGCACGGUUGUUAACAUCCAAA